rfam:Nippostrongylus brasiliensis genome assembly, scaffold: NBR_contig0001988
AAUAAGGUUGUUUUUACAACCACAAACCUGAAAUCAUGAGAAAAAU